rfam:Clostridiaceae bacterium BRH_c20a BRHa_1005797, whole genome shotgun sequence.
GGGCGAUUAGCUCAGCUGGGAGAGCACCUGCCUUACAAGCAGGGGGUCGGCGGUUCGAUCCCGUCAUCGCCCA